rnacentral:rRNA from 1 species
AGUCUGGUGCCAGCAGCCGCGGUAAUUCCAGCUCCAAUAGCAUACUUUAAAGUUGCUGCAGUUAAAAAGCUCGUAGUUGAAUUUCUGACUUAACAUGCUUAGCCCUUCCGGGUCACCGGUGGAGUGCUGAGUCGUGUUUGUCAUCCUUCCAGAAAAUGUUGUUGCGCUUCACUGCGUUGACAACACUAUCUGGAUCUUUUACUUUGAAAAAAUUAGAGUGUUUAAAGCAGGCUUUUGCUAUGAAUACAUUAGCAUGGAAUAAUAAUUUAGGACUUCGGUUCUAUUUUGUUGGUUUCUAGGACUGAAGUAAUGAUUGAUAGGGACAGUUGGGGAUGCUGAAAUUCAUUGGCCAGAGGUGAAAUUCUUGGAUUCAAUGAAGUUCAACUCAUGCGAAAGCAUUCAUCAAGGAUGUCUUCUUCUAAUCAAGAACGAAAGUUGGGGGAUCGAAGACGAUCAGAUACCGUCGUAGUCUCAACUAUAAACUAUGCCGACUCGGGAUUGGUGAACGUUGCAUUUUCGACUUCAUCAGCACCGUAUGAGAAAUCAAAGUCUUUGGGUUCCGGGGGGAGUAUGAUCGCAAGGUUGAAACUUAAAGGAAUUGACGGAAGGGCACCACCAGGAGUGGAGCCUGCGGCUUAAUUUGACCCAACACGGGAAAACUUACCAGGUCCAGACAUAGUGAGGAUUGACAGAUUGAAGAUCUUUCUUGAUUCUAUGGGUGGUGGUGCAUGGCCGUUCUUAGUUGGUGGAGCGAUUUGUCCGGUUAAUUCCGUUAACGAACGAGACCUCGACCUGCUAAAUAGUUCGGCGAAGGCGUCAGCCUUUGUACGUGACUUCUUAGAGGGACUAUCGGUGCUUUAGCCGAAGGAAGUUCGAGGCAAUAACAGGUCUGUGAUGCCCUUAGAUGUUCUGGGCUGCACGCGCGCUACACUGAUGGUUGCAUCGAGCUUACAACCUUGAUCGGAAGGUCUGGGUAAUCUUUUUAACGUCCAUCGUGCUGGGGAUAGAUUAUUGUAAUUAUUAAUCUUCAACGAGGAAUUCCCAGUAAACGCAAGUCAUCAACUUGCAUUGAUUACGUCCCUGCCCUUUGUACACACCGCCCGUCGCUACUACCGAUUGAAUGGAUUAAUGAGCUGCAGGGAUUGACGCGCUUGUGGGCAACUGCUUGCGUGUCGAGAACUGCAACAAAUUUGUUCAUUUAGAGGAAGUAAAAGUCGU